rnacentral:lncRNA from 1 species
CUUCUUUGUGCUCGGGUUAGGAGGAGCUAGGCUGCCAUCGGGCCGGUGCAGAUACGGGGUUGCUCUUUUGCUCAUAAGAGGGGCUUCGCUGGCAGUCUGAACGGCAAGCUUGAGUCAGGACCCUUAAUUAAGAUCCUCAAUUGGCUGGAGGGCAGAUCUCGCGAGUAGGGCAACGCGGUAAAAAUAUUGCUUCGGUGGGUGACGCGGUACAGCUGCCCAAGGGCGUUCGUAACGGGAAUGCCGAAGCGUGGGAAAAAGGGAGCGGUGGCGGAAGACGGGGAUGAGCUCAGGACAGGUAAGGGAAUGAAAUCAGCCCUUCUUCCUAGAAGCUGCGGCGGGGGUGUUUGUCAUUCCCUUGAUGUACGGUAAGUACGGGCCGACUCAUUUUUGCAGGGGUUUGUGAAGAAGUCGCAGGAACCGUAGGCUUUCGUUGGGUCUAUAGUUAACGCCGGAUCGCAGUUGGAAACCACCAGCUUUUUGUCAGUAUAUAUUACUCAUUUUAUAGAGCCAGAGGCCAAGAAGAGUAAGACGGCCGCAAAGAAAAAUGACAAAGAGGCAGCAGGAGAGGGCCCAGCCCUGUAUGAGGACCCCCCAGAUCAGAAAACCUCACCCAGUGGCAAACCUGCCACACUCAAGAUCUGCUCUUGGAAUGUGGAUGGGCUUCGAGCCUGGAUUAAGAAGAAAGGAUUAGAUUGGGUAAAGGAAGAAGCCCCAGAUAUACUGUGCCUUCAAGAGACCAAAUGUUCAGAGAACAAACUACCAGCUGAACUUCAGGAGCUGCCUGGACUCUCUCAUCAAUACUGGUCAGCUCCUUCGGACAAGGAAGGGUACAGUGGCGUGGGCCUGCUUUCCCGCCAGUGCCCACUCAAAGUUUCUUACGGCAUAGGCGAUGAGGAGC